rnacentral:rRNA from 1 species
GACGAACGCUGGCGGCGUGCUUAACACAUGCAAGUCGAACGGAAAGGCCCUGCUUUUGUGGGGUGCUCGAGUGGCGAACGGGUGAGUAACACGUGAGUAACCUGCCCUUGACUUUGGGAUAACUUCAGGAAACUGGGGCUAAUACCGGAUAGGAGCUCCUGCUGCAUGGUGGGGGUUGGAAAGUUUCGGCGGUUGGGGAUGGACUCGCGGCUUAUCAGCUUGUUGGUGGGGUAGUGGCUUACCAAGGCUUUGACGGGUAGCCGGCCUGAGAGGGUGACCGGCCACAUUGGGACUGAGAUACGGCCCAGACUCCUACGGGAGGCAGCAGUGAGGAAUAUUGCACAAUGGGCGGAAGCCUGAUGCAGCAACGCCGCGUGCGGGAUGACGGCCUUCGGGUUGUAAACCGCUUUCGCCUGUGACGAAGCAUGAGUGACGGUAAUGGGUAAAGAAGCACCGGCUAACUACGUG